ensembl:lncRNA
GUGGAUAGCAGCUCUUGGAAGAACUGGAUGAGAAUCAUUGAAGUUGAUAUUAAAGCAGGAUUUUUGAUUGCAAACCUGAGCGCAGUUUAAGAAAGUGUUGAGAUUUCUUCUACAAUGUGUGAUCUGUGAGGAGAAACCUCUGAAUAGCAGGUUUGUGGAGAUCCAGAGAUAGGUAGACUAUGCCUCAGUUCACCUUUGCCUGCUUCUGUGGCCUUCAUGGCCUCUGCGGAAGGAAAAAGAAGAAAAAGGAGCAAGAGAGACCACCACAACAGGACUAUGAAACUGAGGUUUGAGAUGUUGUCUGGACUGGGAAGAUUCUCAAGGUUUCAGUAGCUCACAAAGGGAACCAGAUGCAGGACAUGACCUCGAUGUCGGUCCAGAUGUCAGGGCUGAGAAACAGAGGCGAUAUCAGAACCCUGUUCAUGAUUUUAAUGUACUUACCUGUAAGACGUUCUGUUUAUUUUCACAGUUUAAACACCGAAAGAGCAGUUGAAAGUACAAAGGUGCAGGGACGUACUGUUGCACUUUAAAAAUCUAAUUUUAAAUAUAUUAAAAUUUAUAUUCACAUUUAGAGGUCCCAAAAAGCAUUAGUACACUUUUAAAAAAGUCAUUACCUUAGAUUGCACAAUAUAAAAAAGUUAAUAGGUUAAUAGAUAGUUCAUAUUUUUACUAAAAUGUUUGUUCUGAUAAAAUCCUUUGCUUGCUUUAUGCAACCUGUUUUAAUAUUUUUAUCAAAUAUAAUAUUAUCAGAUGUUGUUAUCUUAUGCAUUAAAAGUGGCUACAAAUAUGUGAAAAUAAGUAGUUUUGGGGCCGCUAAAUGAAUGUAAAAUCUAUAUUCUAGAGUACAGAAUAGAAUAUAUAUUCUAUAUUCUAUUCUAUGUAUAUUCCAUAGGGUAUUUUUUGCAAGCAUACGCCUCAACACACGCUGAAUGUUGAAUCUUGAUUACCAUUUAACACGUUUAAAUAUUGACUUAUUCAAUGCAAAUACGCCUGGAGGCAACUGUUGAUGCCAAAAAUUC